rnacentral:rRNA from 1 species
CCUGGUUGAUCCUGCCAGUCACAUACGCUUUGAUCAAGGGUUAAGCCAUGCAAAUGUUAGAGCAAGUAAGCAUGCUUCUAGCAGUUGCACAACAGAUCUGUGACCUGCUCAAUAAACAGUGGUCAUUUGUCCGGUGAGCAUGGAACAUGGUGGUGGAUACCCAUUCUAACUGGAUGGAUAAUACGAUGAGAAACAUUGCAGUACGUUGUCAUGAAGAGGCUGGUGGCCUAUCCAUAGGUCCUUCAAACGUAUGCAGUCAGCCAAGCGUGACGAAAAUCAGCGUGUUGAAAAGGAUGUGGCUCAUACGGAAUUAGCUUGGUGUACGUGUGGCCGCUCGGUCGGCAGGCCGGUCCAGUCUCUGAUCUAUCAGGCAUGGUGGCAGAAUAUGGCUCUGUCAAGGCAAUAACGGACACAGAGAAUGAGGGUUCGAUUCUGGAGAGGGAGCCUGAAAAACGGCUGCCACUUCCAAGGAUGGCAGCAGGCGCGGAAACUACUGAAUAGCAACUCCAAGCUGAAGUGGCGACGAUGCUUAGCAACUGGUUGCAUAUACAUGCAAUCUGUUUGCAAUGAACGAAGAUCCAGUUAUAUAUAUCGUCGAGGAUCAAAUGGAGGGCAAGUCUGGUGCCAGCAGCCGCGGUAAUUCCAGCUUCAUGGGCGUAUGCGAAUGUUGUUGCUGUUAAAAAGCUCGUAGUUUCAUUGUGGUGCGCUCUAUCUGGGUGUCCUCGUAAAACAGGACGCAGUCCCAGGCACAACACCUGGUAGCCUUUGUGGAAGCUACCUUCAGUGUGUAGUGGAAGCUGUCAUGCAAAUGCCACUUGCGAAUUAGGGUUGCUUGGAUGGUCACCGUGAGCUAAGCAGUGUGCUCAACGCAGUCUCCUGAUGAUUCGCACGGCUCUCAUGUUUAAGCAUGGAAUGACAAGGAAGCGAUCAAAUCCGUGAUAGCAUUUCGUUGGUUUUGAGGCAGAAUUGAGUAACAAUGCAGUCACGUCAAACUGGGACUUGUUCCAGGGAGGCGGCUGCAUUCCGGGACGAACAGAAAAUGGUGGGGUGCUCUGUAUUGUAAAAGGAGGAGUGAAAUCCAGUGAUCGUGGCGCGACCAGCGAAAGCCAAAGCAUUGUGCAAGCAUGGCUUCAUUUAUCAAGAACGUGAGUCUGGGGAUCGAAGAUGAUCAGAUACCGUCGUAGUCCAGUUACCGUAAACGCUGCGGACCUCCGUGGUGUACCUCAGGAUCGCCCCUGUAUUGUGGUGUGUGCAGAGUCCUCGGGCCGUGUACGCGACCAUACAUUCUUCUCAUCGCGAAAGCUCGAGUUUUCACGCUCAGGGGGAAGUAUGGUCGCAAGGCUGAAACUUAAAGGAAUUGACGGAAUGACACCACCAGGCGUGGAGUGUGCGGCUUAAUUUGACUCAACGCGGGAAAUCUUAUCAGGUCCGGACUCUUAAAGGAUUGACGGUGUGUCGCACUUUCAAGAUCAGGCGAGUGGUGGUGCAUGGCCGCUCCUAGUUGGUGAGGUGACUUGUCUGCCUGAUUGCGAUAACGAACGAGAUCUUUUUGGCUUAAUACAUUGCAGCCCCAUAUUGAUGGCGACUUCGUACGCAAGUCGCACUCAAGGGUCUGUCCAAUUACUUAUCCAGGCUGUGUGCGAGGCAAGCGCAAGUACGGGAGUCGAUAGCAGGUCUGUGAUGCUCCUCGACGUUCUGGGCUGCACGCGUACGACAAUGAAAUCAUCAACGCGUCAGCCUUUCAUGUGAAGCCUGCUCUGAAGUGUGUGGGAAAUCGUUCAAUCUGAAUCGUGAUGGGAACAGCUCCAAUUGGAACUAUUGUGCUCGAACGAGGAAUGCCUCGUAGAGAUCGUUCAACAGGCAGUCUUGAUUAUGUCCCUGCCAUUUGUACACACCGCCCGUCGUUGCUACCGAUGGUUUGAUCGUAGAGGCGGCAGGAGAGAAUAUGCUGCUUAUGGCGGCUUGCGUUGUUGAAUUCUACCAAUACUGUUUCGUUAGAGGAAGCAAAAGUCGUAACAAGGUUGCUGUAGGUGAACCUGCAGAAGGAUC